UCAUCGACCGGGUCAUGGGGAUGCGGUCAACCUUCCAGACACGUCACACCGGCAGAUUCGUUUUCUCAGCUUCCAAACAGGAUCAAAAUGGCGCCGUCUGUGGGAACGCGCCUGAUCUGGAAAGUGAAGAUGAACGACGCCGGAUAGUUCUGCCAUCCUCACGACCACGGUAAAGGAAGGAUGAAUUAGCGGAGGCUGGAGGACAAUGCAAGGAAGAUGUGUGUGGAUGGAACUUGGAAUAAAGAUCUUGGAGAAACUAGCAAAAUUAGAAACAUUUAGCAUUUUCUUAAAUUAUUACGUUUCCGCACUUCUAGUUAUUUUAAAGUUUGGAAUCAUGAAAGACCUGUUUAGAUUGUUAGUGAUCAUGCUUAGAAUGUCA